UGUAGGUGCGCGGACACAAUCGGAGUGAAGACGAAGGGAGUGUGCUUUAUUCGUAUUUACAUGUCGUAAAGGGCACCUAGGCGUAUCAGAAAUGCAUGUGUUAUAUCCCAGGGGGCAACCGUGGAACUGACUUGUAAACGCCUGAGUUUGAGGUCGAGAGAGGUGGGUGGAAUUCCGAGUGUAGUGGUGAAAUUCGUAGAUAUUCGGAGGAACACCAGUGGCGAAGGCGGCUCACUGGCUCGAUACUGACGCUGAGGUGCGAAAGCGUGGGGAGCAAACAGGAUUAGACACCCGUGUAGUC
rnacentral:rRNA from 1 species